rnacentral:lncRNA from 1 species
UAUAGCCCCCCAACAGCCCCCUGUAGCCCCCCCAAACUGACCGAGAAGCCGGCCCAGGAUGGACACGAGUGGCGAAUCUUGGAAGACGCAGUGAUGGUGGCGGCCACCAGGCUGAAGGUGACGACGAGGACACCGAGGAUGACUUGAAGGAAUCCCAGCACCAACAGAACCUGAAGCCACGUCCUGUGGGUUCGGAGCCGGGUGAAACUGCGGGACGAACGGACGGUCAAAGAGCGGCUGGAAUCGCUGCGAGACGGCAUGGCCAAAAAGUACCGGAGACCCGAAAACGAGAUGAAAACGGGAAACCCAAAGGUCGAGAAACGGGAGAACGCCGGAACCGGGCCGGUUUUCCGUCUGUCGGGGGUUCCGAUGCCGGGAGGGGGACGCGGUGGUUCGGUGGUUCGGAUCCUCAGCGCCGUCCGCUCAUUUCGCUCAAAACCCCGCGUUUGGGGUCUCGUCUUCUUCCUCCUCUUCGAUCUCCGGUCGUGGGGGGGUCAUGCCGGGGUUGGGGGGGGGACGUUACCGGUUGGGUUUCACCCAAACCGUACCGAAGAACCGGGAGGAAGAAGCGCUGCGGGCCGCGCUCAGCUCUGAGCAUCCUCCGACGGCCGCGCGGGGUUCCGUGCGAAAAGAGAAGAAAUAAUAAUAAUAAUAAUAAUAAUAAAAUAAUAAUAAUAAUAAUAAACAACCCCGAUCUCCAACCGACGCCUCUCCGCUCUCACCGCAUCCUCCGCCGUUGUUUAUCGGCGGCCGCAAACCCCCCCCCCCCCCCCCCCCCCCCCCCCCCCCCCCCCCCCCCCCCCCCCGGAUAGCCGACCCCAACCCCGCCGGGUCACGGAGCUGCGACCGCGCCCGAUGCGGAGGAGAAGAACCGGGAGGGGCAGAACCGGGAGGGGGAGAACCGGGAGGGGCAGAACCGGGAGGGGCAGAACCGGGAAAGGCAGAACCGGGAGGGGCAGAACCGGGAAAGGCAGAACCGGGAGGGGCAGAACCGGGAGCGCUUCCCCCCGCCCCGCAGCCCCGGUGGGAGCCCCGAAGGCGCCGGCACCGGAGGCCGCCCCUCCGCGGAACGCCGGG